rnacentral:lncRNA from 1 species
AGGGCCGCGGCGUCCCAGCAUUUGAAGGGUUGUUUGUUGCUGGGAUUGGUGGCUCUUUUCCGUUGGGGAACUGGAGCGGAGGGAGGAGAGACGCAGGGAGGAGGAGCCGGGGGCCGGCCGACGCUGCGACUCCGCGGUCUGAGGGGCAGGAGCCUGGUCUGCAACCGGGCGGUUACUGGGGAGACGCUUUGUUUGCUAACUUCGAAAGCUGCUUCGGCUGCCUCGGCCGCUUUCGAAGCCACUCAACAAAACACGCCUUCGGGCACACAUAGUUCCAUUUGGUGUCAUCUUUUGAAGCUGCUUCAAGGCCAAGAAAAGACAGAGUUGUGUCUAUCAAGUGAUCAGAGAAUGUAUUUACUUCAUUCAUCUACUGGACAACCAUUGAUAGACCAGGUUUCCCUCCAGCAAGAAUGGUGACUCACAUUUGCUCCUAGUCUCUGGGGAACAGAUACUUUUAUAAAGUAUGCAGACUGUGGGGCUCCAAAUGGCGCAUGAGCAUUCUAUAAUCAUGGUUUCACAUCUCAGGUCAGAGGGUCUUGGGCUGCUUAAGGAGAAGCCGGCCAUUGUCUUUUCAAGGGCCUGGGUUACAACCAUCUUGUGAUUUUAUCCAUCAGGAUUACUCUCCUAGCCUUGGUUACAUGCAUAAUGUAAAACUGGUGCUACUACUUUUGUUUGUAAUCACUUUUCUCCUGGCCAGCACUUCCUUUCCCAGUCUUUUCCCCUCUCUAGUCCAGUCCUCACUGCUCACUGCCUACAGGGGGUUUGGAAUCAAGGGGACAGAACAAAAAGCAUGGAUCUCAAAAGCAUGGAUCUGUAUUGUGCUUUCCAGUUUUUUUUUUUAAGUUUAUUUUUUUGAGAGAGAGAGUGAGCAGGGGAGGGAGAGAGGGGAGGGGAUCUCAAGCAGAUGUGAGCAGGAGAGGGAGAGAAAGGGAGACUCUCAAGCCAAUGUGAGGCUUGAACUCAUGAACCACAAGAUCACAACCUGAUCUGAGAUGAAGAAUGAGACACUCAACCGGCUGAGCCACCCGACUUUGGCUCAGGUUAUGAUCUCACGUUCCUGGGUUCGAGCUCCGUGUCACGCUCUGUGCUGACUGCUAGCUCAAAGCCUGGAGCUCUGUGUCUCCGAUUCUGUGUCUCUCUCUCCGUCCCUCCCCUGUUCACGCUCUGUCUCUGUCUCUCAAAAAUAAAUAAAUGUAAAAAUAAAUUAAUUAAAAAUAAAUAAAUAAUCUCAUUUGAUACAUGAACUGUAAGUGGGUUAUUUUUCCCCCUUAAAGUCAAGUUAAGUAACAGCAAAUAGAACUAAAAGGUAUAAAAGCAAGUAUUGGAC